GACGAACGCUGGCGGCGUGCUUAACACAUGCAAGUCGAACGGAAAGGCCCUGCUUUUGUUGGGUGCUCGAGUGGCGAACGGGUGAGUAACACGUGAGUAACCUGCCCUUGACUUUGGGAUAACUUCAGGAAACUGGGGCUAAUACCGGAUAGGAGCUCCUGCUGCAUGGUGGGGGUUGGAAAGUUUCGGCGUUUGGGGAUGGACUCGCGGCUUAUCGGCUUGUUGGUGGGGUAGUGGCUUACCAAGCCUUUGACGGGUAGCCGGCCUGAGAGGGUUACCGGCGACAUUGGGACUGAGAGACGGCGCAGAAUCCAACGGGAGGCAGCAGGGGGGAAUAUUGCACAAUGGGGGGAAGCCUGAUGCAGCAACGCCGCGUGCGGGAUGACGGCCUACGGGUUGUAAACAGAUUUCGCCUGUGACGAAGAGUGAGUGACGGUAAUGGGUAAAGAAGCACCGGCUAACUACGUG
rnacentral:rRNA from 1 species